rnacentral:rRNA from 1 species
UACGUAGGGAGCAAGCGUUGUUCGGAUUUACUGGGCGUAAAGGGCGCGUAGGCGGCGCGGUAAGUCACUUGUGAAAUCUCUGAGCUUAACUCAGAACGGCCAAGUGAUACUGCAGUGCUAGAGUGCAGAAGGGGCAAUCGGAAUUCUUGGUGUAGCGGUGAAAUGCGUAGAUAUCAAGUGGAACACCAGUGGCGAAGGCGAGUCCCUGGAAAACUCCUGACACUGAGGCACGAAAGCUAGGGGAGCAAACAGG